rnacentral:rRNA from 1 species
UACGGAGGGUGCAAACGUUGCUCGGAAUCAUUGGGCGUAAAGCGCACGUAGGUGGUCUGUUAAGUCGGAUGUGAAAGCCCUGGGCUCAACCCAGGAAGUGCAUUCGAAACUGGCAGGCUUGAGUAUGGAAGAGGGUCGCGGAAUUCCCGGUGUAGAGGUGAAAUUCGUAGAUAUCGGGAGGAACACCCGUGGCGAAGGCGGCCAGCUGGGAUACACCUGACGCUGAGACACGAAGGCGUGGGGAGCGAACGGG